rnacentral:rRNA from 1 species
GAAGCCGGAAUUGCUAGUAAUGGCAGGUCAGCAUACUGCCGUGAAUACGUUCCCGGGCCUUGUACACACCGCCCGUCAAGCCAUGGAAGCCGGGAGUGCCUGAAGUGUGCAACCGCAAGGAGCGCCCUAAGGUAAAACUGGUGACUGGGGCUAAGUCGUAACAAGGUAUC